ACAAGUUUUAUUUAAAAUACAGGAUAAAAUCUGUUUAUUUUCAGUUGGUGUUUUAAGGAUAAAGAUUACGCAGUGGCUGAGAGAACUUUUGAGGUGACAGUGAGAUUCUGGUACUCCCCCCAUAGACUGCUGUGCUCCAUGGGAGGCUUCCCGAAGCAUCCUGAGUGAUCUUGGAGGAGACAUUAUGAUGGUCUUCUACGCUACUACAUUGAAAUUUUCAAAACAGAUGGAAGAAUUUCAGAUUUAAGUAUCUGGUUCGGAGAAAGGAAUAUUCAGUCACUGAACUCUACUUGAAAGCACAUUCA
rnacentral:lncRNA from 1 species